GAGGGUAUAGUUCGGUGGUAGAGUAUGUGCUUAGCAUGCACAAGGUCCUAGGAUCAAUCCUCAGUAACCCCA
rnacentral:tRNA from 1 species